CGGUGAACUAAGCGCAGUUUGGUAGCGCAUCUGGUUUGGGACCAGAGGGUCGGGGGUUCGAAUCCCUCUUCACCGACCA
rnacentral:tRNA from 1 species